rnacentral:snRNA from 19 species
CCACCUCUCAAGCCAAUCGGCUUUGAUCAAGUGUAGUAUCUGUUCUUGCCAGUGUAAGAACUGGCAUUAUCCGUCAGGAUAAACUCACGAAUUUUUGGGCGGCGAGAUGAGGCAGCGGAGCUUGAGCGCUUGCGUUUCGGUUGCUCUGCCAGAGGCUCGCGGGCUCCCGGGCUGUAGAUC